CUAGAAAAUAUCCGCCUCCACUUCCCCUCUCUCCUCCCUCUCUCGUUUUCCUCCUCUCUCAGAUCGGGUGCCAUCGCACGCCAUGGUUUCGGAUUGGGCAGAGGUCGCCGCCAUGGGAGAAGGGGAGGGUGAGACCUGGGGCUCUACCAGCAGCACACGCGAGCAGAGGGCCUAAGUGCCAGGUGAGCUCUCGCCCGCUGUGCCCGCGCCCUGCCGCCCGCCGCCUCCGCGCGCCCCGCGCAGUCGCUGCGGCCCCGCCAUGCCCGCCUGCUCGCCUGGGCGGCGUAGCCCCGCCUGCGCACUGCAGCGGCGGCCUGCUGCUCCACCGCAUCCGCGCCGCGCUCGCCCUGCCAUGCCCGCAUCCGCGCCGCGCCAGGCCACACACCCCCGCCUGCGCGCUCGCCCGCGAGCUCGCCUCCGCCGCCGCUGCUCAGCCCAGGCCAUGACGAGCUCACCCGCGCGCUCACCCUGCUUCGCCCUGUGCUGGCCUACACGAGCAGUAACACGGCGACUCCCUGCCCCUUGUCGGUCUCCUCCACUCCUCCAGCGCCAGUGGAAUGGCGUGAGCACCGCCUGGAUGUCGGGAAACAGUGGCGGCGAAGGCGGAGGUCUCGACGCCGGCGAGGCCAGCCGGAGGGAGCGCCGUGCUCUGCUACUCCGCCCGAGAGCUCCGCUGCUCCGCCGCGCGUGCCAGCGCCUGCCCCCCCUUUUUUUGGUUUCUCCCAUCUGGAUUUCUGAUUUGAUUCCAAAGUGUGGAGGUGGAUGGUACUUCAGGGAGGAAGUUGGUUGCAAUUUCCUUUUGUACAAUGCAGCGGGCACAAAAUAAUUUUCAGGCAAGCUUUCUUUCAGCGAUUGGUGAGUUACAGGUCAACUGUGUCUCACCCACUGAAAAAAAUAGCGCGCUAUACCGUCGCUAAUAGCACGCUAUAGCGUAUUGAGAAUUGCCUUGCUAAAUAUAUCAGUGUACAAUGUCCCGCUAAUAGCACGCUAUAGCGCGAUAUAGCAUGCUAAUAGCAUAUUUUGAGGUCGCCGCUAUUUUGCUGUAGCACGCUAUUUUUUUCAUUGGUCUCACCUCACUAAAUCGGGUUCUCAUGCUUUUUCUUGCUUGAUAUUAAUCAAUAUUCUUGGCACAUCCUUACAGGGAUAUCAUGUACAGUGCUAAUCACCUAAUGCGAUUUAGACCAGUGAGUUUUCUAUUUUGGCCUUUGUUUUCUAUGUGCAGGGUGUAUGCAGAUCUAUGGGAGUUCAUACAAUGCAACGGCUACGAUUUAAUUAGUAGUUUCCUUCAUUUUCAUAUUGUUCUUUAGCCCUGCUAUUUGUAUGGUUCAGUUUGCAUUUUUAUGCUCAGAUGAAAGAAUAAUUUCUCGAACAGCAGGUUUAUGUACCAUGGAUAUAUAACUUCGAUUUUUUGUCCAAUAUAUAGCCUUUUAAAUAAUGGAUAUGGUAAAUGCAUCGUUAGUAACCACUGGAAUUAAAAGUAUUCAGUCAGUCUCUUUGAUAUCCAGCAUGGUCAAUCUAAAUAGAUGAAUGAUGGAGAGAGGGUACUUUUGGGCUUUUCUAGAAGAUGCUCUUGAGUUAACUGUUCAUUGCUGCUUGUUUGUAAUGUGUUCUUUGAAAUCUAAUCGGUCCAUCUUUGUGAUGUUUUUUAGGUGUGUGCUCAUGCCUAGGUUUGUGUUCUCAACUUGAGUAUAUGGUGCCCAUAUUGUGAUGGAUAUCAGGGAGUCACCACGGUGCUGCCUUUGCUCAUCCCCUCGGGCCUCAUGCGCUAACUCGAGGAUGGCGCCGAUGGAUCGGCCAACUCCAUCCUGGCCGACGGCAAGGGCGAAUGCUGGUUUCCAAGGUGAGGUGGUUCUCCCAGUCAAUGAAGUGGUAUGGAGCAGCAAACCAUGGAUGAUUUGGAGGCUGCUUGGGCAUGAAGCAGUGAAACAUGCUCCUCUGCCAUGCUUUUUUCUCCGAAGAGGAGCAACAGGUAAGGAGCGCAACCCUUCGUGCAUCAUGCUCCAUGGUGCAGCAGCCAGAACAGGCGACCACGGGCGAGCGAAUGGUUGAUCUGAUGCCAAGUUUUUGUAGAAGCAUUUGAGUGUUCUCGAGCUUAGGAGUUAGGAAUUCAAGGAACAGUAAUAAAAACAUUCCGAUCUGCUGCUGAAGGAUGAUCGUUAAUUUCAUUAGCUAUCCUGAUUUCUUUUCGACGCUGAGCCAGGGUUACGGACGAUGGCAGGAGCGAGCAGUGGCAAGUGUUUUCUCAUUUCCAGUAUGUUUAAUGUUCAGUUCAUAGGAACAUCCUAGACCACCUUUGGAAAAACCACAGCCUUCACUACCCCAGCAAAGCAUGGAUGUGCCAUAGAAAUGGUGUCAUCCAUCAGGACCUUAAACUAGAGAACUUACACGCAAAUAAGAAGAGUUCUCCUCUAAAGGCAAUUGAUUUUGGGCUAUUUGUGUUCUUCAGGACUGGCAAACCAUACUAUAUGGCCCGAGAGGAUCACCUUACAAAUUGCUUUGAUGUUGUGAAGAAACUGAACAGAUAUACAAGAGCAUGAGCUCUUUGUCAGGGGCUACCUUUACUUGUGUGGCCUCUCGCUGAGGAGUCCUUUAGAUGCUUUGCGCCUGCUCCGUUGUUAUGCUACUGUGGAACGAUGAGCCAUGUGGCCAGGCUCAUCGCCACCUCACAUGUUAUCGCCGUUGUACCCACCUGGUCAGGCUCAUCGCCACCUCACUACUGGAAUUAGGAUCUUUGCCGUCAGCCAGCUCUUUGCCGUCUGCUAGCUGACGGCAAAGAAGGUCUUUGCCAUCAGCUUACAGAAAGCUGACGGUAAAGAAAGAGCGGACGACAAAGAGGGUGUUUGCCAUCAGCCUGCUCUUCGCCGUCAGCUAACUGACGGCAUAGAAUCUUUGUCGUCUGCUAGCAGACAACAAAGAGGGUGGGUGGUCCACUAACGAGAAUGACCUAAUGGCCACUUUCUUUGCCGUCUGGAGCCCGAAAGCAGACGGCAAAGAAAAUAACCUAACGUAUCUAACGGCCGCCCCCGCCCCCGGCAGACGGCACGGAUCGAUGACUUAGCACACACCCACCCACGACCCACACAGCCCCGGGCCCCACCCACGAUGCACACACACACCCACGCCCAACCCACGCACACCCACACCCACGUUGGAUCCCAUCUCUCUCGUUUUCCUCGAUCCCCUUUCUCCACCCCACGCCGCCGCCAGAUUCCGUCGAUCCCCGUCGUUCCCCACCGCCCAGCUCUCCUCCCCGAGGUCACCUUUCCCCACUCACCAUCUCCACCGACUGGUUUCUCUCCUCGCCCAGGAGAGCCACGCCCAGGCACUGGUGGUGGUGCACCGCGAGGAGGCCCCAGCGGCGUCGAGCUGCUGUUGCGGCGGGCUGUUGCUGCGGGCACAGCAACGCCGGCGAGGUCGGGAAGGUCGCAGCCCUUCAAGAUUCUCAAUGGCGGCGUCUCGGCGCUGAUGGCGGAGUCGACGGCGAGCAUCGGCGGGUACAUGGCGUCGGGGUACCGGAGGGUGGCCGGCGUGCAACUCUCCAUCAACCACCUCAAGCCCGCCCGCAUCGGCGACCGCAUCAAGACCAAGGCGAACCCCAUCCAGGUCGGCCGCAAUGUCCAGGCAGAGGUCGAGGGACGAGGUGUCUCCAAGCAGAGGCCGGUCUUCUGCAACCUGCAACUACGAUCUUGGACGGCCGGCGCGCGCGGGGUUGCAGCCUGCAGUAAAUAUUAAAAUCCCCACAUGUCGGGAUGCUGCUCCUGCGCCGAGCUACUGCUGUUGCGGGCACAACAAUGAGCCGGGGAGCAGCUGCGUCAGGCUGCUGCUGCUGCGGGCGCGACGUCUCUCCUUUCCCCACCUCCGUUGCCGUUUUAAUUUUGGUUGUGGUGGUUGCAUCACCGGCGCGGUCGCAAAUCAGUAUGUAGUGUGCUUGUGGAGUUGGGUCUGGACUGCAGUGUCCAUCCAGUAGGUUAGGUGUUGUUGCUGCUAGAUCCCAUGAUGCUCACCUAAGUUUUGUGUUAUGUGGAGGCCAACCUUUGUGAUCUUAUUUGUCGACACUUGUGUGGUGUUGUCUUACUUUUUGAUACAGGUCGUAUGAUAUAUAUGUUUUUUAUGGAUGAUUUUGUGAUGUUCUUAUUU